rnacentral:rRNA from 1 species
GAUGGACGCUAGCGGCAGGCUUAACACAUGCAAGUCGAGGGGUAGAGGUUGCUUGCAACCUUGAGACCGGCGCACGGGUGCGUAACGCGUAUGCAACCUACCUUUUACAGAGGGAUAGCCCAGAGAAAUUUGGAUUAAUACCUCAUAGUAUAUAACCUUCGCAUGUUGGUUAUAUUAAAGUUCCAACGGUAAAAGAUGGGCAUGCGUCCUAUUAGCUAGAUGGUAAGGUAACGGCUUACCAUGGCAACGAUAGGUAGGGGUCCUGAGAGGGAGAUCCCCCACACUGGUACUGAGACACGAACCAGACUCCUACGGGAGGCGGCAGUGGGGAAUAUUGGACAAAGGGCGCAAGCCUGAUCCAGCCAUGCCGCGUGCAGGAAGAAGCAUCUAUGGUGUGUAAACUGCUUUUGUACAGGAAGAAACACCCCGACGUGUCGGGGCUUGACGGUACUGUAAGAAUAAGGAUCGGCUAACUCCGUGCCAGCAGCCGCGGUAA